GCGACUGUAGUUUAACGGUUAGAAUAGCUCGUUGUGGCCGAGCAGAUGGAAGUUCGAUUCCUCCUAGUCGCA
rnacentral:tRNA from 1 species